UAACUAAUAGGGUCAUAACACUCAAAUGUCGUUAUGCAGUUGACCAAACUAUAAAGCGUUGAGCUCUGUUAAGAUUUCUGCCACUUUAAUUGAAUAGGGCUCAAUAUUUUAUAGCUAAUUUCUGUGGAACGUUUAAACAUUUUAGGAACCAUACAAUAGCGUUAUGACGUUAUUGACGUCAUGACGUUCUGGUGGGUGGGUCUUAUCUCUCCCUCAGGAAAAAUGGAGUCAGCCAUCUUGAAUUUGCCCUCAUGCGGGAAAGUUUUCGCCAGCACGUGUUGAUAUGGAACACAGUUUAAUUUGUUUUAAUCUGUUUGGAAUGUGCAAUUUUACACCACCACCCCCCCCCCAUUCAAACCACCACUACCUUAGUUAUUAUCAUUAGUCUUAUUGCCCUCGUCUUCUUAAGCGCCGUCUUAUCAUCAGCCCUGAUUUGACAUACGUGUGUGGCUUUGAGAUCAUCUCGACAUUUUUUAACAGUUCAGAUAUCGGACUACAGAGAGUGUUACAGAGGGUCAGCGUUUCACCAUCAGACAGGUGCCAACAGGCUGAAGUUGGCCUAAUGGAGUGGAAGUUUUCCGGAAUACCCCCAGGACCUGUUUAUGAAGUUUACUUGAGUUGUUAUUCUGCAAACUGACAUGUAGAAAUUACAUAAAUGAAAAGUCAGCGGAUGGUCCAGACCUCACUGACACUCCGGUGGCUCUCCUGACAGUCGUCAUGGAUGACCCUACUGAUGCGGCCCUCUUCAGCCCUGAGAGCAUCUGUACUGUCGUGGAGGAUGAAAUACUUAGAUGUACAAGUCCUGAAGGUUGGGCAGGUGAACCUUCAGGACUUGUUGGAGAUGGAAGUACAACCUCUGCUGGGCCUUUGAACGUCCCACUUCAGGUCCUGGGAGACUGUGGUUCCUACAGUAGGAACGCGAAUGACUUCACUAUGAUAGUCUACUAUCAUCUCUACAGUUUUGAGCAUGUUCAGCUCCAGGUUGUUGUGACUGCACCAGACUCGUCUCCGUCCUGGAUGAGACUGAUGACUGUAGGGUCAUCUGCGCAUUUCAGGAUCUCGACAGAGGGGUGUUUAGAGGUGCGGCCACAAUCAGUGUUGUAAUUUUAACCCCAGUCUACACUUAACCCCACCAACACCUUCUCUAGUACCUAUGGGAUCAUGUGGAGGAUCAUCCACAGCUUAGACUCCUCUGCUUCCACCCACAUGUUUCUCCAGCUGAUCAACAGCCAUGUUUACACAAAUAAUCACAAUCAUUGUGACGGCGAUUUUUAUAUCGUAUCACAGCAAAAUGUAAGAUAAUUAGUUUAGAUUUAAGAACUAGAAACAAGUACGAUGAUCAGAAUGCAUCUGGACUCUGAGCGCAGCUGAUGGAGAACAAACUUCUCUCUGCUCGUACUGUCAGACUUCACACUUUUAUUGGGACAAAAAUGUUCAAGCUUUUUGUUACAUUUGUGUUGCAUCUCACUGACCCUUAGAGAAAGAGACGAUGGAGAGUCGCUGCAUUUUUCUAGCAAGAAAACCGAGUCGAGCAUCACUAAGAUGUCCACACAGACUGAUCACGGCGUCCCUGGCGGUGUCCAGACAGAUGUUACACUCGAACGUCGCCCUUUCCCGUUGCUCCCGCUCGCCCUCACCGCCGCUCCCUCCGGACCGCCCGCCGUCCCGGUCACUGCUGCUCUCCCAAUAGUAUUAAUAAUACUAUUAUUAAUUAAUAAUGAUUUUCAUUCAGCAAUUAAAUCGUUAAAGCCAUAAAGUACGUCUUAAACACAGGGAGAGUCUUUUUGUGGGAUUACAAUCCAAACAUCUUCCUAAAAACAAUCAGAGGUCAAUAUGUUUACCUCACAAGUGUGUGUGUGUGUGUUUGUGACUAUGUGUGACUGUGUGUGUGUGUUUGUGACUAUGUGUGACUGUGUGUGUGUGUGUUUGUGACUAUGUGUGACUAUGUGUGUGUGAGUGAGUGUGUAAG